rnacentral:rRNA from 1 species
GAUCAUGGCUCAGAUUGAACGCUGGCGGCAUGCCUUACACAUGCAAGUCGAACGGCAGCACGGGAGCAAUCCUGGUGGCGGAGUGGCGAACGGGUGAGUAAUAUAUCGGAACGUGCCCAGUCGUGGGGAUAACGUAGCGAAAGCUACGCUAAUACCGCAUACGAUCUAUGGAUGAAAGCGGGGGAUCGCAAGACCUCGCGCGAUUGGAGCGGCCGAUAUCAGAUUAGGUAGUUGGUGAGGUAAAGGCUCACCAAGCCAACGAUCUGUAGCUGGUCUGAGAGGACGACCAGCCACACUGGAACUGAGACACGGUCCAGACUCCUACGGGAGGCAGCAGUGGGGAAUUUUGGACAAUGGACGCAAGUCUGAUCCAGCCAUUCCGCGUGCAGGAUGAAGGCCCUCGGGUUGUAAAGCUCUUUUACUCGGGACGAUAAUGACGGUACCGUAAGAAUAAGCACCGGCUAACUACGUG